rnacentral:lncRNA from 10 species
CAGGGCAGAAACAUUAAAAAACAAGCGAACAAAAAACCCUUAGUUUCUCCCCUGUCCUAGCAAUCUCGAUCACGAAAAUUUAGAUUUGUUUUUAUACAUAUUUCAUUCAUAACUGUCUAACAUAAGUUAUGUCCCUCUUAAGUACAAAAUUAUUAGCAUAAUGAUAAGAUAGUUAACACAUGUACUGUUUAUAAUAUGUUAAGCACUAUUUAAGCACUUCAUAUAUAUUUUAUUUUAUUAUUUUAGAGACAGGGUCUCACUCUGUCACCCAGGAGUACAGUGGCACGAUCAUAGCUCAACGUAAACUGGAACUUCUGGGCUUAAGCGAUGCUCUCGCUUCAGCCUCCCAAGUACCUGGGACCACAGCAGGGAAAAAGCAAAUCCUGGAGGAAGCUCACCUUCUCCACACUGCUCAUCGCCUGGAAAUAGAUGUUUAAAAGAAAAACUACCCCCCAACCCUGCCUACCUAGUUUCUCAUAUCUCAGUUUCAGUUACCCGUGUUUCAAUUACCCACCAUCAAACUCGUCCAAAAAUAGGUUCCCAACCAAGAAAAUUAAUUACAUCAUAUCUCCUUCAUCUUCUAAGUUCUGUGAGUUUACCAGACUUCCCAUGUUUAUAGGACCUUAACAGUUUUAAUACGAAAUAGUCAUUAGGUAUUCUGCAGAAUGUCCCUCCAUUGGAAUUUGUCUGAAUUUUUUUUCAUGAUUAUAAACUGAGUCUAUGAGUUUUGGGGAGGGAAACCAGAGAGGUAAAGUGCCAUUUACAUCAUACCACAGCAAGAGCGUAUACUAACAACAUGACUUAUCACUGUGGAUGCCGACCUUCACUACCUGGCUGAAGUAGUCUUUUAGAGCCCACCUAGAUAGUUCCAAAUAAUCCCUUCAUUAAAACUUGUUUUUUUUUUUUUUUCCUUGAGACAGAGUCUCAGUCUGUCACCCAGGCUGAAGUUCAGUGGCAACAUCUCAGCUCACUGCAACCUCCGCCUCCCAGGUUCAAGCAAUGCUCCUGUGUCAGCUUCCCCAGUAGCUGGGAUUACAGGCAUGCACCACCACAACAAGCUAAUUUUUGUAUUUUUAGUAGAGACAGGGUUUCGCCAUGUUGACCAGGCUGGUCUCAAACACCUGAUCUACCUCAGGUGACCCACCCAC